GUCGAGGUGUAUAAGGAGAGCUGUUUGAUGUCAUUGUGAGCUUGUUCUCUAUUAUCUUUGAAAGGGCGUGGAGAUUGGGAGAGGUCCUCAACGACUGGAAGAAGGCAAAAUUUUUGCACAUCUUCAAAAGAGGCAAGGAGGAGGAUUUGGAGAACUAUGGACUGCUCAGCCUCACUUCAGUCUCUGGGUAAAUAAUGGACAUGAAAGACAAGAAUGUGACUGGGAACAGAAGGAUGAAACAGAAAUGCCUGGCAAAAAUGGCUCACCUGCACUGCUCUCUACACCUGUCUUAUCUACUUCAUGUCUUCUGCAGAUUGAGCAAAGCUCAGUUUUAUUACACCUCUGAUCAAAGACGUAAGACAGAUCUGGAUUAUUUCCUUUGCCACCUGCUUUGAUGUAUAUUCUCAUAAUCACGAAGGAUGGGAAGGAUGCGACCUCCAUUAGACUUCUGGAGCAUUUGCUUAAAGCAUCUAUAAUUAAAAUUCUUUGUAAAUUUUCAUGUAGUUGUAAGAUCUUGACCUUGGGUUCUCCUGUCAUUUUAGGUGUUUGAUCCCCUCUAAACCUACUAUGUUAUGAAUCCACAGAACUUAUCCUUUACAUGCUGUUCCUUAAUUAGCAGAGAUAUAGCUUUCGGAGCUGAAAUUUGGGACAGAUGCAUUUUGCUAGAAAUUUUUAACCAAAAGCUCAUCUCUGCCAUGAAGCUUCUACUAAGUGCUAGAGGGCAUUUUUUUCAAUUAUCACAUACAAUAGUGUCAGCCAUUAUUUUGUAACAGUAAAUGCAAAUACCUAGAGUAUUUCUGAGACGCUGUUCCUUCUCUAUGGGAAGUAUGAUGUAGCACUGAAAGAAAACCAAGAAAGUUUUAGCACACGGUGGGUUUCAAAGUCAUUGCUGGUAAGAGUAAAUUCACCUUUUCCUCCCACCUCUUUCUUUAGUGUUGUAUCCUAUGUUCUGGAAAUGCCUGUGGUUAGUCCUGUUAGCACUACAGCACUGCUAUUUAGUAAGCAUACCUUUCUUAUAUCUUUCGAUAGUAUAAAUCUAAAGAUUGAAUAUUAGUCAAACA
rnacentral:lncRNA from 1 species